UACGUAGGGUGCAGGCGUUAAUCGGAAUUACUGGGCGUAAAGCGUGCGCAGGCGGUUUGCUAAGACAGGUGUGAAAUCCCCGGGCUUAACCUGGGAACUGCGCUUGUAACUGGCAAGCUUGAGUGUGGCAGAGGGGGGUGGAAUUCCACGUGUAGCAGUGAAAUGCGUAGAGAUGUGGAGGAACACCGAUGGCGAAGGCAGCCCCCUGGGCUAACACUGACGCUCAUGCACGAAAGCGUGGGGAGCGAACGGG
rnacentral:rRNA from 1 species